rnacentral:lncRNA from 1 species
AAGAGGGAAAAAAAAAUGCUCCAGCAGGAGGAAGAAGAAGAAGAAAAAGAAAAAGAGAAAAAAAAAUUGCUCCUGCAGGAAGAAGAAGAAGAGGAGUCCGCCUGGCGGUGCUCCGGCCGUCGCUUUCUUUUUUCGGCGAAAAAAAAAAAGAACGAGAGAACAAAGAGGAGAGAGAAAGAGGAAAGAGAAAAAGUAAUAAGGGUAUUUUGGUCAGUUUGCUGAAAAAGCGAACCGAAUUUGCAAAAACGAAAAAGGUGGCCCGGUUUUGCAGAAGCCCAAAAUAAGUGGAUUUUUUAUGCAAAUUGGCCAAAUUUUUUUACGGGUAACCAAACAUUGGAAAAAAAAAUUUCAAUGAGAAAAAAAUUUUCGGAGCAAUUUUACAGGGAUCCAAACACACCCUAAUUUAAUGAAUGAUACGAACACAGUUUAAUUUUAAUUUUUUCAGUUCGUCUAAUAAACAAGGCUGGAUUUUAAUUUUUCAAUUCGUCUAAUAAACGAGUCGGGAGUUUGGUUUGUAGGAAAAAAAAAUAGUUUUCCGUUACGAUUGUUUGGUUGAUAGAAAAAAAAAAGUUAUGAAGAUAAAUUAAUAUAUUUUUUCUUAUUUUAUAUAUUAUAUAUUAUUAAUAAAUAAUAAUUAUCAUACUAUAUUUAUUAUUAUUCUAGUUUAUAUUUAAAAAAUAUAUAUUUAAAACAUAUUAUACAAAAAAUAUGUAAUAUCAUAUAUAAUAAUAUAUA